UACGAAGGGGGCUAGCGUUGCUCGGAAUCACUGGGCGUAAAGCGCACGUAGGCGGCUUCUUAAGUCAGGGGUGAAAUCCUGGAGCUCAACUCCAGAACUGCCUUUGAUACUGGGAGCUCGAGUCCGGGAGAGGUGAGUGGAACUCCGAGUGUAGAGGUGAAAUUCGUAGAUAUUCGGAAGAACACCAGUGGCGAAGGCGGCUCACUGGCCCGGUACUGACGCUGAGGUGCGAAAGCGUGGGGAGCAAACAGGG
rnacentral:rRNA from 1 species